rnacentral:rRNA from 1 species
ACGCUCGACACCUACGGGAGGUAGCAGUGGGGAAUAUUGCACAAUGGGGGAAACCCUGAUGCAGCAACGCCGCGUGAGUGAAGAAGUAUUUCGGUAUGUAAAGCUCUAUCAGCAGGGAAGAAAAUGACGGUACCUGACUAAGAAGCCCCGGCUAACUACGUGCCAACAGCCGCGGUAAUCUGAGCGGGCUGGCAAGGC